AAUAGCAUCCAUCAGUAGGAGUUUUUCUCCUCAGCUCAUGGCAGCGGAUCAAAUAUUUAAAUGUGAUUUUUAGACAUAAAGGCACAUGAAGAGAUUUGUUUGACGAAGGAGGAGUGAUUUAGAAAACUCAGCUCCAACGAUGGGGAAGAAUUUUCUGCCAGGAUGAGGCUCAUCCACCUGCAACACGUUUUGCCUGAAAACUUCAUAUCCCCAUCAUUUUUUCCCAAAGGAAAAGACCCCAUUGGCCAGACCUUUUGCUGGGGGUCGGGGCUGGACCCCACCGGUAGGUGGAUUCUUCACCAUCUGAGCCACCAGGGAAGCCUCCUCUUCCUUUGGAAUCGGCAUUUGGCCCAAUCACACCGAAGACCUGUAUGCGGUUACCUCCUGGACAAUCAUCCACCCGGCAUCCACCUGACCUGCAGCACCCCAGUUCAUCUCUGAGUUUGGAGCAGAGAGAGCUUAAGAAGCUUUGAUACACAGAGAAGGAUUUUUGCCAGUUUAUCCUCUAAACCCAGAGAAAGAGGGACUCAGAAU
ensembl:lncRNA